rnacentral:rRNA from 1 species
AUUGAACGCUGGCGGCAGGCUUAACACAUGCAAGUCGAGCGGGGGAAGGUAGCUUGCUACCGGACCUAGCGGCGGACGGGUGAGUAAUGCUUAGGAAUCUGCCUAUUAGUGGGGGACAACAUCUCGAAAGGGAUGCUAAUACAGCAUACGUCCUACGGGAUAAAGCAGGGGAUCUGCGUACCUUGCGCUAUUAGACAAGUCUACGUCGGCUGAGCUAGUUGCUGGGGUAAAGGCCUACCAAGGCGACGAUCUGUAGCGGGUCUGAGAGGAUGAGCCGCCACACUGGGACUGGGACACGGCCCAGACUCCUACGGGAGGCAGCAGUGGGGAAUAUUGGACAAUGGGGGGAACCCUGAUCCAGCCAUGCCGCGUGUGUGAAGAAGGCCUUAUGGUUGUAAAGCACUUUAAGCGAGGAGGAGGCUACUCUAGUUAAUACCUAGGGAUAGUGGACGUUACUCGCAGAAUAAGCACCGGCUAACUCUGUGCCAGCCGCCGCUGUAA